AGUCGAACGAACUUCGGGUUAGUGGCGGACGGGUGAGUAACGCGUGAGAAUCUGCCCUCAGGAGGGGGAUAACGGCUGGAAACGGCCGCUAAUACCCCAUAUGCCGAGAGGUGAAAUGAAUUUCGCCUGAGGAUGAGCUCGCGUCUGAUUAAAUAGUUGGGGUGGUAAAGGCUCACCAAGGCAUCGAUCAUUAGCUGGUCUGAGAGGAUGAUCAGCCACCCUGGGACUGAGACACGGCCCAAACUUCCUACGGGAGGCAGCAGUGGGGAAUUUUCCGCAAUGGGCGCAAGCCUGACGGAAAAACCCCCCCCUGGGGGAUAAAGGCCUCUGGGCUGUAAACCUCCUUUUUUUUUUAGGAAAAAAAUAUGACGCGCACUUGUAUGAAAAAACCACGGGUUAAUUUCCUUGCCCGCACCC
rnacentral:rRNA from 1 species